rnacentral:rRNA from 1 species
AACGCCCGGAUAUUACGAGCGCAAGCUUAAAAUCCAAAGGACUUGACGGUGUCCCAUCCCCCUAGAGGAGCCUGUUCUACAAUCGAUGAUCCCCGCUACACCUCACCAUUUCUUGCUCAGCCUGUAUACCUCCGUCGCAAGCUUGCCAUAUGAAUGUAGCAGGCUCAAUGCGCCAACACGUCAGGUCAAGGUGCAGCCUAUGAAAUGGAAAGCAAUGGGCUACAAUUUCUAAUCUAGAACAAACGAACAACCAUCUGAAACAUGGUCAUGAAGGUGGAUUUAGUAGUAAAGGGAGAUAAUAGCGCCCCCUUAAUAGGGCCAUGGGACGCGUACAAACCGCCCGUCACCCUCUUCAACAGCGCAUUUUAGAAGAGGCAAGUCGUAACACGGUAAGUGUACUGGAAAGUGCGCUUGGAGGCAAAAUAUAGCUUAGAAAGCCCUCCGCUUAC